UGUUCCUACGGGACGCAGCAGUGGGGAAUAUUGCACAAUGGGGGGACCCUGAUGCAGCGACGCCGCGUGAGUGAAGAAGUAUUUCGGUAUGUAAAGCUCUAUCAGCAGGGAAGAAAGGUGCCCCUUGGGCGCCUGGACGGUACCUGACUAAGAAGCCCCGGCUAACUACGUGCCGGCAGCCGCGGUAAUACGUAGGGGGCAAGCGUUAUCCGGAUUUACUGGGUGUAAAGGGAGCGUAGACGGCAGAGCAAGUCCGGAG
rnacentral:rRNA from 1 species